GAUGAACGCUGGCGGCGUGCCUAACACAUGCAAGUCGAGCGAACAGACGAGGAGCUUGCUUCUCUUACGUUAGCGGCGGAUGGGUGAGUCACACGUGGAUAACCUACCUAUAAGACUGGGAUAACUUCGGGAAACCGAAUCUAACACCGGUUAUUAUAUUGAACCGCAUGGUUCAUUAGUGAAAGCCGGUUUUGCUGUCACUUAUAGAUGGAUCCGCGCCGCAUUAGCUAGUUGGUAAGGUAACGGCUUACCAAGGCAACGAUGCGUAGCCGACCUGAGAGGGUGAUCGGCCACACUGGAACUGAGACACGGUCCAGACUCCUACGGGAGGCAGCAGUAGGGAAUAUUCCGCAAUGGGCGAAAGCCUGACGGAGCAACGCCGCGUGAGUGAUGAAGGUCUUCGGAUCGUAAAACUCUGUUAGUAGGGAAGAACAAAUGUGUAAGUAACUAUGCACGUCUUGACGGUACCUAAUCAGAAAGCAACGGCUAACUACGUG
rnacentral:rRNA from 1 species